rnacentral:rRNA from 1 species
AGUGAACGCUGGCGGUAGGCCUAACACAUGCAAGUCGAACGGCAGCACAGUAAGAGCUUGCUCUUACGGGUGGCGAGUGGCGGACGGGUGAGGAAUACAUCGGAAUCUACUUUUUCGUGGGGGAUAACGUAGGGAAACUUACGCUAAUACCGCAUACGACCUACGGGUGAAAGCAGGGGAUCUUCGGACCUUGCGCGAUUGAAUGAGCCGAUGUCGGAUUAGCUAGUUGGCGGGGUAAAGGCCCACCAAGGCGGCGAUCCGUAGCUGGUCUGAGAGGAUGAUCAGCCACACUGGAACUGAGACACGGUCCAGACACCUACGGGAGGCAGCAGUGGGGAAUAUUAGACAAUGGGCGCAAGCCUGAUCCAGCCAUACCGCGUGGGUGAAGAAGGCCUUCGGGUUGUAAAGCCCUUUUGUUGGGAAAGAAAAGCAGCAGGUUAAUACCCCGCUGUUCUGACGGUACCCAAAGAAUAAGCACCGGCUAACUUCGUG